UUAUAGACCUUUAUUAUUCUAAUAAAAUGUGCUUCAAGGACAAUCCAUCAGUGCUUUUCCUUUUGAGAGCCCUAUUAACAUGCCAAUGGUAGGAUUUGAAUCUCGUAUAAAUGACUUAGGCUGAUUUGAGGGGUGGUCUGAGGGGCCCUGAUCCCGAAAUCCCGGGCUUAAAAACAUGAAAUCCCGAGGUGCGUAUUUUAACGAAAUUCAUAUCCCGACAUCCCGAAAUUUAAAAAAAAAUUCCCGCAUCCCGUAAAGAUCAAUCCCGAAAUCCCGAGCUUAAAAACACCCGAUCCCGACGUCCCGAAUAAGUCCUGCCUCCCUUUAAU
rnacentral:lncRNA from 1 species